rnacentral:rRNA from 1 species
GACGAACGCUGGCGGCAUGCCUAAUACAUGCAAGUCGAGCGAACAGAUGAAGUGCUUGCACUUCUGACGUUAGCGGCGAACGGGUGAGUAACACGUAAGGAAUCUACCUAUAAGCGGGGGAUAACAUUCGGAAACGGGUGCUAAUACCGCAUAAUAUCUUCUUCCGCAUGGAAGAAGAUUGAAAGACGGCUCUGCUGUCACUUACAGAUGACCUUGCGGUGCAUUAGUUAGUUGGUGGGGUAAUGGCCUACCAAGACGAUGAUGCAUAGCCGACCUGAGAGGGUGGUCGGCCAAGAUGGGACGGGGACACGGCCCAAACUCCUACGGGAGGCAGCAGUAGGGAAUCUUCCGCAAUGGGCGAAAGCCUGACGGAGCAAUGCCGCGUGAGUGAAGAAGGCCUUCGGGUCGUAAAACUCUGUUAUAAGAGAAGAACAAAUUGUAGAGUAACUGCUACAGUCUUGACGGUAUCUUAUCAGAAAGCCACGGCUAACUACGUGCCAGCAGCCGCGGUAA